rnacentral:rRNA from 1 species
ACGAACGCUGGCGGCGUGGAUAAGACAUGCAAGUCGAACGAGAGAAUUGCUAGCUUGCUAAUAAUUCUCUAGUGGCGCACGGGUGAGUAACACGUGAGUAACCUGCCCCCGAGAGCGGGAUAGCCCUGGGAAACUGGGAUUAAUACCGCAUAGUAUCGAAAGAUUAAAGCAGCAAUGCGCUUGGGGAUGGGCUCGCGGCCUAUUAGUUAGUUGGUGAGGUAACGGCUCACCAAGGCGAUGACGGGUAGCCGGUCUGAGAGGAUGUCCGGCCACACUGGAACUGAGACACGGUCCAGACACCUACGGGUGGCAGCAGUCGAGAAUCAUUCACAAUGGGGGAAACCCUGAUGGUGCGACGCCGCGUGGGGGAAUGAAGGUCUUCGGAUUGUAAACCCCUGUCAUGUGGGAGCAAAUUAAAAAGAUAGUACCACAAGAGGAAGAGACGACUAACUCUGUGCCAGCAGCCGCGGUAAUACAGAGGUCUCAAGCGUUGUUCGGAAUCACUGGGCGUAAAGCGUGCGUAGGCUGUUUCGUAAGUCGUGUGUGAAAGGCGCGGGCUCAACCCGCGGACGGCACAUGAUACUGCGAGACUAGAGUAAUGGAGGGGGAACCGGAAUUCUCGGUGUAGCAGUGAAAUGCGUAGAUAUCGAGAGGAACACUCGUGGCGAAGGCGGGUUCCUGGACAUUAACUGACGCUGAGGCACGAAGGCCAGGGGAGCGAAAGGGAUUAGAUACCCCUGUAGUCCUGGCAGUAAACGGUGCACGCUUGGUGUGCGGGGAAUCGACCCCCUGCGUGCCGGAGCUAACGCGUUAAGCGUGCCGCCUGGGGAGUACGGUCGCAAGAUUAAAACUCAAAGAAAUUGACGGGGACCCGCACAAGCGGUGGAGUAUGUGGCUUAAUUCGAUGCAACGCGAAGAACCUUACCUGGGCUUGACAUGUAAUGAACAACAUGUGAAAGCAUGCGACUCUUCGGAGGCGUUACACAGGUGCUGCAUGGCCGUCGUCAGCUCGUGUCGUGAGAUGUUUGGUUAAGUCCAGCAACGAGCGCAACCCCUGUUGCCAGUUACCAGCACGUGAAGGUGGGGACUCUGGCGAGACUGCCCAGAUCAACUGGGAGGAAGGUGGGGACGACGUCAGGUCAGUAUGGCCCUUAUGCCCAGGGCUGCACACGUACUACAAUGCCCAGUACAGAGGGGGCCGAAGCCGCGAGGCGGAGGAAAUCCUAAAAACUGGGCCCAGUUCGGACUGUAGGCUGCAACCCGCCUACACGAAGCCGGAAUCGCUAGUAAUGGCGCAUCAGCUACGGCGCCGUGAAUACGUUCCCGGGUCUUGUACACACCGCCCGUCACAUCAUGGAAGCCGGUCGCACCCGAAGUAUCUGAAGCCAACCGCAAGGAGGCAGGGUCCUAAGGUGAGACUGGUAACUGGGAUG